rnacentral:rRNA from 1 species
GUGUCAGCCGCCGCGGUAAUACAGAGGGUGCAAGCGUUAAUCGGAAUUACUGGGCGUAAAGAGCUCGUAGGCGGUUUGGUAAGUCGGAUGUGAAAUCUCCAGGCUCAACUUGGAGGGGUCAUUCGGUACUGCCAUGACUAGAGUUCGGUAGGGGAGUGUGGAAUACCUGGUGGAGCGGUGAAAUGCGCAGAUAUCAGGUGGAACACCCGUAGCGAAGGCGGCACUCUGGGCCGGAACUGACGCUGAGGAGCGAAAGCGUGGGGAGCGAACAGGAUUAGAUACCCUGGUAGUCCACGCCGUAAACGUUGGGCACUAGGUGUGGGGUUCUAUCGACGGAUUCCGUGCCGUAGCUAACGCAUUAGGUGCCCCGCCUGGGGAGUACGGCCGCAAGGCUAAA